rnacentral:tRNA from 1 species
UUUAGUGUGGUGUAUUUGUCACGUUACAUUUUGGUUGUAAAGGUAGUUUGUUACUCAUUAUUU